AAAAACAGGGAUACUUUACCCUGGUGAGGAACAUCACUCAUAUAUGCAUCAGUCUCUGUAACAGCAUUUAUAUUUUUAUUAAAUGAAUUUGUUAUCUGCUUAUCUUUUUAUUUCCCAAUUCGAUUAACCACUUCUUGCUUGAUGGAGCAUAUUGGCUGUCUUCUAUUUUCAAUUCAACUAACUAGUUGCUGGAUUGCAUGAAUUACUGUAAUUUCAAUGCCCCAGUCUCAUGGCGUGUGCGGCAUGGUGGUUUGUAAUUUUCACAAGGGUCCCAUGAACGUUCAUUGUGAUAAUUGAGUUACAACAGUUGAUGGCACAUUUGUUCAAUUUUAUAUAUUAUACAUAUGCAUAAAUAUAUACACAAUAUUUGCAAUCUAUCAAUUUCUUUUUCUUCGUUUCUCUAAUUUGUUGUUGAUAGGAGGAGUGGCGAAGAGGUCUUAAAGCGCUGAGGGCUGAUACU
rnacentral:misc_RNA from 1 species